CCCACAUGAAGUUGGAGUUGCUAGUAAUCGCGAAUCAGCAUGUCGCGGUGAAUACGUUCCCGGGCCUUGUACACACCGCCCGUCACACCAUGGGAGUUGGGAGCACCCGAAGCCGGUGAGUUGACCGAAAGGGGACAGCCGUCGAAGGUGAGACCGAUGACUGGGGUGAAGUCGUAACAAGGUACC
rnacentral:rRNA from 1 species